GAAAUCUUCGUUGUCAGCCUUUUCCCCAUCAGACAAUAAUAUUUCUUUUGCGGGUCUCUCAGCAUCUAUAAUAUGGUGCAGAAUGCCAAGGCUUCUGACCAAAGGGAGAACCUGUGAGUGCCACAACAAAAAGUUCGUGUUGUCUAGUUUAAUGGACACAAGACUUGAGCAUUGAUGAAAAGACUGAAUAUUUAGACUUGGCUCUUUGAUAAAGGAUGAAGAGGUUAUAUUGCUAGUACUCAAAAGAGGUUUUAUUGCUAGUACUCAUGGCUGGCUCUGAUACCAUGAAAAAAUUCUAUGAAGAGUAUAAUUCUUGUUCUGUAAUUUUAAUGAAAUUUACAUAGUUAUUUAUACAAAAUAAAGACAAAGUAGCCGUUGAAAGGCUUAAUAAUAUUAAAGGAAAAUAAGUAACUUCCUAAACUAUUGCACAAUAUCUUUAUAAAAUAGGAAUGAAAUAUUCCUACAUGAUAUUGGCAUUCAAGUGUAAAAAUCGUGCUGGAGAUAUUCCUUGACAAAUAGCUUUGACGUGAGCAAGCUGUGUGGAGUGAUAAACCCUUUGUUGACUUGACCGUUGAUGACUUUCCUUUUGGUAAUCUUGGUCAGCUUGCUUAACA
rnacentral:lncRNA from 1 species